rnacentral:sRNA from 1 species
CUUCUUUCCCGCCUCGCUCCCCGGCUGGCGCUAACGCCCACCUCCCAACAGCGCCACCCGCUGGCGGAUAUCCUGCACCGCGGCUGCCCGCUCCUGCGCCGCUGGCUGCGCCGGCGCUGCGUGGUGUGCCAGGCACCCGAGACGCCCGAGUCCUACGUGUGCCGGACGCUGGACUGCGAGGCCGUGUACUGCUGGUCGUGCUGGGACGACAUGCGGCAGCGGUGCCCGGUCUGCACGCCCCGCGAGGAGCUCUCUUCCUCCGCCUUUAGUGACAGCAACGACGACACUGCCUACGCGGGGUAAAGAGGCGUCCUGCUCGCUCUUCCGCUCCGUCCUUCCCGGUUAAUAAAAUGCCCUGUGGCACCGAGGAGCAGCAGGCAGAGUCAGAGAAGGCCCCGAGGGAGCCCUUGGAGCCCCAGGUCCUUCAGGACCUCAAAAAGGUGCUUCAGACCAGUCUGCCUGAGCCCCUGAGGAUCAAGUUGGAGCUGGACGGUGACAGUCAUAUCCUGGAGCUGCUACAGAAUAGAGAGUUGGUCCCAGGCCGUCCAACCCUGGUGUGGUACCAGCCCGAUGGCACUCGGGUGGUCAGUGAGGGACACACUCUGGAGAACUGCUGCUACCAGGGAAGAGUGCAGGGAUAUGCAGGCUCCUGGGUGUCCGUCUGCACCUGCUCUGGGCUCAGAGGCUUGGUGGUCCUGACCCCAGAGAGAAGCUAUACCCUGGAGCAGGAGCCUGGGGACCUUCAGGGUCCUCCCAUUAUUUCGCGAAUCCAAGAUCUCCACCUGCCAGGCCACACCUGUGCCCUGAGCUGGCAGGAAUCUGUAUACACUCAGACUCCACCAGAGCACCCCCUGGGACAGCGCCACAUUCGCCGGAGGCGGGAUGUGGUAACAGAGACCAAGACUGUGGAGUUGGUGAUUGUGGCUGAUCACUCGGAGGUGAGCCUGCUGGCCCCUGCACAUGCUCCUCCCCCUGCACUGCCCCGCCGCCUUUCGUGUCACCUCUCUUGGCCUACAGGUCCAGAAAUACCGGGACUUCCAGCACCUGCUAAACCGCACAUUGGAAGUGGCCCUCUUGCUGGACACAGUGAGUGCUGGACAGGGCAGCCCCCACCCCAGGCCCCUGACCAUGACAACCCCUCUUCUGAGCCCCAGCUGUCUUUCAGUUCUUCCGGCCCCUGAAUGUACGAGUGGCACUAGUGGGCCUGGAGGCCUGGACCCAGCGUGACCUGGUGGAGAUCAGCCCAAACCCAGCUGUCACCCUCGAAAACUUCCUCCACUGGCGCAGGGCACAUUUGCUGCCUCGAUUGCCCCACGACAGUGCC